AAAAAAUAUUUAACCUAUCCGC
rnacentral:tRNA from 1 species